GACGAACGCUGGCGGCGUGCCUAAUACAUGCAAGUAGGACGCAGUUGCGAACGGGUGAGUAACGCGUAGGUAACUACCUAUUAGAGGGGGAUAACUAUUGGAAACGAUAGCUAAUACCGCAUACUAGUAGAUGGACCUGCGUUGUAUUAGCAAGUAGGUAGGGUAAUGGCCUACCUAGGCAACGAUAAAUAGCCGACCUGAGAGGGUGAUCGGGCAAACCGGGAAUGAGAAACGGCCCCGGAUCCUACUGGAGGCAGCAGUAGGGAAUCUUCGGAAAUUGGGGGAACCCUGACCGAGCCACGCCGCGGGAGUGAAGAAGGUUGUCGGAUCGUAAAGCUCUGUUGGUAAGGAAGCGGUACUUAACCAGAAAGGGACGGCUAACUACGUGCCAGCAGCCGCGGUAAUAC
rnacentral:rRNA from 1 species